rnacentral:rRNA from 1 species
GACGAACGCUGGCGGCGUGCCUAAUACAUGCAAGUCGAACGCAGUGGGGACGGGUGAGUAACACGUGGGUAACCUCCCAUCAGAGGGGAUAACACUUGGAAACCGGUGCUAUACCGAUACUGAUGGAUGAACCCGCGGUGCAUUAGCUUGUGGGUGGGGUAACGGCGCACCAAGGCCACGAUGCAUAGCCGACCUGAAAGGGUGAUCGGCCACACGGGAACUGUGACACUGCCCAGACUCCUACGGGAGGCAGCAGUAGGGAAUUGUGGGCAAUGGACGAAAGUCUGACCGUGCAACGCCGCGUGAGUGAAGAAGGUUUUCGGAUCGUAAAACUCUGUUGUGAGAGAAGCGGUAUCUAACCAGAAAGCCACGGCUAACUACGUGCCAGCCGCCGCGGUAAUUC